AGAAUUCUGUUGCCGCUGUGAUUUCUCGGGCACCCGCCAUUACACUGGACCUGUACAAAUUCACGAAACUAUAUGGGGGGAAAAAACAGAGACAAGACAGGAAAAGAGUGUGUGUGUGUGUAUAGAAAGCAGAACAUGAAGAAUCAUUGGCUAACCUAUAGCUACAAUUUGCAGGUUGAGAGAGUGCUUGGGCUUAGGGUUUUGUGUGUGUAAGUAAACCCUACUCUCAGAGUAAAGUUGAGAGAGAGAGAGACAGAGAGUCUAUUUUUCUAUUUUCAAAAUAUUUUUUAAAA